rnacentral:rRNA from 1 species
ACGAACGCUGGCGGCGUGCUUAACACAUGCCAGUCGAACGGAAAGGCCCUGCUUUUGUGGGGUGCUCGAGUGGCGAACGGGUGAGUAACACGAGAGUAACCUGCCUUUGACUUUGGGUUAACUUCAGGAAACUGGGGCUAAUACCGGAUAGGAGCUCCUGCUGCAUGGUGGGGGUUGGAAAGUUUCGGCGGUUGGGGAUGGAUUCGCGGCUUAUCAGCUUGCUGGUGGAGUAGUGGCUUAUCAAGGCUUUGACGGGUAGCCGGCCUGAGAAGGUGACCGGCCACAUUAGGACUAAGAUACGGCCCAGACUCCUACGGGAGGCAGCAGUGGGGAAUAUUGCGCAAUGGGGGGAAGCCUGAUGCAGCAACGCCGCGUGCGGGAUGACGGCCUUCGGGUUGUAAACCGCUUUCGCCUGUAACGAAGCGUGAGUGACGGUAAUGGGUAAAGAAGCACCGGCUAACUACGUG